rnacentral:rRNA from 1 species
AGCAGCCGCGGUAAUUCCAGCUCCAAUAGCGUAUAUUAAAGUUGUUGCAGUUAAAAAGCUCGUAGUUGAAUUUCGGGAUCAAGUCGUCGGUCGUGCUCAGGUACGUACUGGCGUCAUUGAUUUCUCCCUUCUGACGAACCAUGAUGUCAUUAAUUUGGUGUUAUGGGAAAUCAGGACUGUUACUUUGAAAAAUUAGAGUGUUUAAAGCAGGCUCACGCUUGAAUACAUUAGCAUGGAAUAAUAAAAUAGGACGUUCGAUCCUAUUUUGUUGGUUUUAGGAUCAACGUAAUGAUUAAUAGGGAUAGUUGGGGGCAUUAGUAUUCAAUUGUCAGAGGUGAAAUUCUUGGAUUUAUUGAAGCUAACUACUGCGAAAGCAUUUGCCAAGGAUGUUUUCAUUAAUACAAGAACGAAAGUUAGGGGAUCGAAGACGAUCAGAUACCGUCGUAG